rnacentral:rRNA from 1 species
AGAGUGAACGCUGGCGGCAGGCCUAACACAUGCAAGUCGAACGGCAGCACAGGGGAGCUUGCUCCCUGGGUGGCGAGUGGCGGACGGGUGAGGAAUACAUCGGAAUCUACCCAGUCGUGGGGGAUAACCUCGGGAAACCGGGACUAAUACCGCAUACGACCCACGGGUGAAAGCGGAGGACCGCAAGGCUUCGCGCGAUUGGAUGAGCCGAUGUCGGAUUAGCUUGUUGGCGGGGUAAUGGCCCACCAAGGCGACGAUCCGUAGCUGGUCUGAGAGGAUGAUCAGCCACACUGGAACUGAGACACGGUCCAGACCUCCUACGGGAGGCAGCAGGUGGGGAAUAGUUGGACAAGUGGGCGACGAAGCCUGAUCCAGCCAUGCCGCGUGAGUGAAGAACGGCCCUCGGUUAGUAAAGCUUCGUUUUAGGUUAA